rnacentral:tRNA from 1 species
GCAAAUGUAACUCAAUUGGUAGAGUGUGACCUUGCCAAGGUCAAAGCUGAGGGUUCGAAUCCCUUCUUUUGCU